rnacentral:rRNA from 1 species
UGCAGUCGAGGGGCAGCAUGGUCUUAGCUUGCUAAGGCUGAUGGCGACCGGCGCACGGGUGAGUAACACGUAUCCAACCUGCCGUCUACUCUUGGCCAGCCUUCUGAAAGGAAGAUUAAUCCAGGAUGGGAUCAUGAGUUCACAUGUCCGCAUGAUUAAAGGUAUUUUCCGGUAGACGAUGGGGAUGCGUUCCAUUAGAUAGUAGGCGGGGUAACGGCCCACCUAGUCAACGAUGGAUAGGGGUUCUGAGAGGAAGGUCCCCCACAUUGGAACUGAGACACGGUCCAAACUCCUACGGGAGGCAGCAGUGAGGAAUAUUGGUCAAUGGGCGAUGGCCUGAACCAGCCAAGUAGCGUGAAGGAUGACUGCCCUAUGGGUUGUAAACUUCUUUUAUAAAGGAAUAAAGUCGGGUAUGCAUACCCGUUUGCAUGUACUUUAUGAAUAAGGAUCGGCUAACUCCGUGCCAGCAGCCGCGGUAAUACGGAGGAUCCGAGCGUUAUCCGGAUUUAUUGGGUUUAAAGGGAGCGUAGAUGGGAUGUUUAAGUCAGUUGUGAAAGUUUGCGGCUCGACCGUAAAAUUGCAGUUGAUACUGGAUGUCUUGAGUGCAGUUGAGGCAGGCGGAAUUCGUGGUGUAGCGGUGAAAUGCUUAGAUAUCACGAAGAACUCCGAUUGCGAACGCAGCCUGCUAAGCUGCAACUGACAUUGAGGCUCGAAAGU